UACGUAGGGGGCAAGCGUUGUCCGGAAUUAUUGGGCGUAAAGAGCGUGUAGGCGGCUUUACAGGUCCGUUGUGAAAACUCGAGGCUCAACCUCGAGACGCCGGUGGAAACCGUAAAGCUAGAGUCCGGAAGAGGAGAGUGGAAUUCCUGGUGUAGCGGUGAAAUGCGCAGAUAUCAGGAAGAACACCCGUGGCGAAGGCGGCUCUCUGGGACGGUACUGACGCUGAGACGCGAAAGCGUAGGGAGCGAACAGG
rnacentral:rRNA from 1 species